AAAUAAUACAAUUAAAUUAUUUUAGUUUUAAUUAAUUAGUAAUUAAAAAUUUCAAAAAAAAAUUUAUUAAGUGAAAUUUUAAAUUUUUUUAAGAUUGGUAUAUUUUAAUGAUUUAAUAAAUUUUAAUUUUAAACUAGGAUUAGAUACCCUAUUAUUGAAAAUUUAAUUUAAAAAACUAAAUUAGUAUUAGUUAAUUUCUUGAAAAUUAAAGAUUUUGGCGGUAUUUUAGUCUAUUCAGAGGAACCUGUUCCGUAAUUGAUAAUCCACGAUUUGAUUUACUUUUUUUAUAUUAAUUUAUAUAUCGUCGUAGUUUGAAUAUUUUAUAAGAAAUUUAAUAUUCAAGAUUUUUAUAAAAAAAGAAAUCAGAUCAAGGUGUAGUUUAUAAAGAAGAGGAAAUGGGUUACUAUAAUUAAAUUUUAGGAUAAUUAUUUUUAUAAUAAUUUAAAUAAGGAUUUGAUAGUAAUUUUAAUUAAUUAAUUAAAAUGAUUUUAGCUCUAAAAU
rnacentral:rRNA from 1 species